GACGAACGCUGGCGGCGUGCUUAACACAUGCAAGUCGAGCGGAAAGGCCCUUUCGGGGGUACUCGAGCGGCGAACGGGUGAGUAACACGUGAGUAAUCUGCCCUUCACUUAGGGAUAACGCUAAGAAAUUGGUGCUAAUACCUGGUAUGACCGCUUCUCGCAUGGGAUGGUGGUGGAAAGAUUUUUUGGUGGAGGAUGUGCUCGCGGCCUAUCAGCUUGUUGGUGGGGUAAUGGCCUACCAAGGCUUCGACGGGUAGCCGGCCUGAGAGGGUGACCGGCCACACUGGGACUGAGACACGGCCCAGACUCCUACGGGAGGCAGCAGUGGGGAAUAUUGGACAAUGGGCGGAAGCCUGAUCCAGCAACGCCGCGUGAGGGAUGACGGCCUUCGGGUUGUAAACCUCUUUCAGCACAGACGAAGCGCCUGUGAAGGUGGUGACGGUAUGUGCAGAAGAAGCACCGGCCAACUACGUGCCAGCAGCCGCA
rnacentral:rRNA from 1 species